UGGACAAAACAGAGAACACAGUUGCAAAAAUUAAAAAGAAAAAACAAAACAAAACAAUUCACCACCUUGGGUUGAAAAGUUGGGGGCGCUGGGAAACCUCUCUAAUGGCUAUUGAGACAUGCCAGCACGCUUGCAGCGUUGCCACGGGUGAUGGCGAAGCUGAAGCGCUGGAACAGUCAAGCAUGAUGUCCCAUGUGUUU